rnacentral:RNase_P_RNA from 1 species
AUACUCGGGUAAUCGCUGCGCAGUUAUACUACGCAGAGGAAAGUCCAUGCUCGCACAAACUGAGAUGUUUGUAGUGUUCGUGCUUGACGAAACCAUAAGUCAAGGGAGUUCAUCAGAACUUACGGCAGGGAAAAUCCCUAAGUCUUUGGAUAAGGGAUGACUACCUUGAAAGUGCCACAGUGACGGAGCCGGAGUAGAAAUACUUCGGGUGGAACGAGGUAAACCCCACGAGCGAGCAACCCAAAUAUAGGUAGGGGCACUUUUCAAUGGGAAUUCAACCAGAGAAGAGGCCGUUUAGCGGCAGAUAGAUGAUUGCCACCGGAGUACGAGGUUGACCACCGUUUGCAGUACAAUGGCACAGAACAUGGCUUACAGAG